GAUGAAGAACGCAGCGAAAUGCGAUAAGUAAUGUGAAUUGCAGAAUUCAGUGAAUCAUCGAAUCUUUGAACGCACAUUGCGCCCGUCAGUAUUCUGGCGGGCAUGCCUGUUCGAGCGUCAUUACGCCCCUCAAGUCCCCUGUGGACUUGGUGUUGGGGAUCGGCGAGGCUGGUUUUCCAGCACAGCCGUCCCUUAAAUUAAUUGGCGGUCUCGCCGUGGCCCCCCUCUGCGCAGUAGUAAAACACUCGCAACAGGAGCCCGGCGCGGUCCACUGCCGUAAAACCCCCCAACUUUUUAUAGUUGACCUCGAAUCAGGUAGGACUACCCGCUGAACUUAAGCAUAUCAAUAAGCGGAGGA
rnacentral:misc_RNA from 1 species